UAUGUCAAGAAGUUCCAUAAGAUGGUAGUUCCAUAAGAUGGUGCCUUGAUUUGAUUCUUUAAUUUGUUAUUCAUCAUAUUUAUGUAAAAUAAUCCUAUAAUCUAUAUCCCUCAAAAUUAAAAAUCAAAGCAAUAAGGUAUUUUACUUGUGACAAAUAGAUGUGGCAUAUAAAGCUCUUUUGCAUACAAUAUAAAUUAUAACAAUCAUAGGUUUUAAAAUUUAUGGUUUUACCAUGUUUCAAAAUGUAGCUCCUCCACAACACUACUAAAUUGUUACUAUGUGCUAUUGUUGGGAGAAAAAAAAUUAUACAUUGCAAUUUCCAUUUAUAUGCCUUUUAUCCACCAUGAUGUGCAUUUCUUUUAUUGUAUUACUAAUCUAUAUGUUGAGUCGUGCCUCAUUUCUAUUUGUGCUUACAUUAAUACAAUCAAAAAUUGGAAUCAAACUUACAUCUUCCAAAAUCCAAUGCUUAUCACCCCUUCUUCUAUGACAACUUACUUUUGAUCUAACAUCGGUGUAGAAUCACUACUCUUCUUUUCUAUGGAAAUAACAUUCAUUGCCACAAAAAUUACCUUGAUUGUUUGUUAAAUCAUUGAUUGGAAAAGCAGCACAAGUGGCUUGUUAAGACAUAGAUGCAUAUGGAGAAAUUCUCUUAUUGUGGUAGAGCAAUAGUAGUACAUGGUUUAUUGCUACAAUCACUUGCUUCAUCAAUUAGAAUAAAUGUAUAUAAGUAUCCAUCAAAAAACUCAAUUGCCUCAAAUUCUAUACCAACACCAAUACUUGGAUUAAUGUAGCAUGUGAAUAAAUUGUUAUUGGCUCUUAACAACUCCAUUCUUUGAACAACUCUGUUCUUGAAGAUAUUCAUGUCUCCAAUUCUCUUUGCAUUCUCAAAGUUCUUAGAAUUUUCUUCAAUAGUCAAUCAAAAUGCAUUUUUAUCUCUUUAUUUUAUAUGUCCAAGUUGUUUAUAUACAUAUCUAUAUAUAUAUAUAUAUAUAUAUAUAUAACUUGUAAUUUUAUCUUACAUGUGCAAAACUUCUUCUAUAUUUUAUAAAAAUAAAAAUGACUAUGCUAUAAAAUAUAAAUAAUUCUUAAUAUUUAUUUUAAAUUUUUAUUAGAUAUAAUUUUGGAUAAAUAUUCCAAAGCAUUAAAUAAAAAUAAAAAUGAGGAUUUAAAAUUAUUAUUGUAGUUGAAAUUGUGGAUAUAUUUUAAUCUUAGAUUUUUAAAUAAAGUCUAUAAUAAAUUUUGUAAUUAUUUUAAUAAAUAAAUUCAUACUUAAUUUUAAAAUUUAGAAUUGUUUACAUAAUUAUUCAGAAUAAAUACAUUGAUUUUUUAUAAAGAAAAAAAAAUUAAAGGAAAAGAAAAUAAAACAUAAUAGAGGUACUUGAAAAGAGGAAUGACAUCAAGAAGAUUUUGUUAGUUAAAGGGGAAGAAGAAAAAAUCAUUUGAAAAAAUUUGCUAAUAUUCACCAAAACUGAUAUGUAUUGUGUGUUAUCAAUCAUAAAUCAAUCAUUGAAAAAAAUAUAAAUGAUUUAUUAUACGUAAUUUAAUUUAAUUCGAUUUUUUUUCUUUUCCUUUUUCAAUUUCAAUUUAAGUCAUUUGUUUGCACAAAAUUUAUUUAUUUUAAGGGUUUGAAGCCAUAAAUUAUAAUACAUGAAAUAACUUAUCUUUAUAUAACUGAAUAACAACACUAUUCAAAAUUAAUGAAAACUUAUGUUAAUAUAUUUGUGUACUCAAAAAAUUACAAUACAAUUCAAUUUCAAUUCAAUUACAAUUUAAUUACAAGUUUUUGCACAGAAAACUAAGAAUAAUGAUUACAAAUAUACGGCUUUUUAUUUCUUUUGUUGGAAUCCAAUUCAAAUAAAAAAAUUGUAAAAAAUAUUGCAUUUUUUGAGCCAAUUAGCUAAAUUAGGUGAUAGCUUGUAUAUGUAGUUGAUGAAGACAUAAUUGUAUUUCUAUAUUGAAUAUUCCAACCUGACUUUUGUCUCCCUGGAGAAAACCACCACCAUAUGCUCUCAAAUCUUCUUUUUAGUUUCCUUCAAAAAAAUAAUUUAAAUUAAUUUUCUAAAUUAUAUACACAAAACUUACAUUAAUUACAAUCAUCAAUAUUGAAAAUGAUAACUUUUUUUUCAUGUAUAAAACCUAAUAGAUAAAAGUAAAUAAAUAAAUAAAUAAAUGGAAUAGAAAGAAAACUCACUAAGCUAAUAGAAAACUCAGAGAAUGAAAAAACGUGGUUGUGGAAGGGGUCAAAGAGUAGCAUAUUAUAUAUUGCUGCAGACAACUUCUGGCUCUUAAACCAAUUUCUUCUUUCUAUCUCAAAUAAUUCUCAAUUA
rnacentral:lncRNA from 1 species